rnacentral:lncRNA from 1 species
CUGUGAAUGAGGGACAAGAACAGUUGGGAUGUCAUGAGUGAAGGCAUGCAGCAGAGAUGGGUUGUGGGAUCCCAGAGCUGAGAUUUAAAAAACUGGCACGAAAACUUGCUGAGAAGUAUCAGCAUGGUGAAAAGGGAAACAAGAAGUGGAUAGAAUUUAGAAAUUGUCUUCUGAGUCACUGCGGAGUGAACAGGAAGUCCUGAUGAUUCAAGAUUUGGCACUUUCCCUUGCUGAACUCAAUGGCACAUCCUAGUACUAGGAGAAACUAGGGUGUAGGAAGAACAGUCUUUUGGCUGAGAUAACGGGCCUGUGAUCGUCCUCUUUAUCAAUGAAUCCAGUGAUAUUUUUCAUCAGAAAAUAAAGCCCUGUUCAU